rnacentral:tRNA from 1 species
UCUAAUAUGGCAGAGUAGUGCAAUGAACUUAAACUUCAAAUAUAAAGAAAAUUCUUUUUUUAGAA